rnacentral:rRNA from 1 species
AUUGAACGCUGGCGGCAGGCCUAACACAUGCAAGUCGAACGGUAACAGGAAGAAGCUUGCUUCUUUGCUGAUGAGUGGCGGACGGGUGAGUAAUGUCUGGGAAACUGCCUGAUGGAGGGGGAUAACUACUGGAAACGGUAGCUAAUACCGCAUAACGUCGCAAGACCAAAAAGGGGGACCUUCGGGCCUCUUGCCAUCGGAGGUGCCCAGAUGGGAUUAGCUAGUAGGUGGGGUAACGGCUCACCUAGGCGACGAUCCCUAGCUGGUCUGAGAGGAUGACCAGCCACACUGGAACUGAGACACGGUCCAGACUCCUACGGGAGGCAGCAGUGGGGAAUAUUGCACAAUGGGCGCAAGCCUGAUGCAGCCAUGCCGCGUGUAUGAAGAAGGCCUUCGGGUUGUAAAGUACUUUCAGCGGGGAGGAAGGGAGUAAAGUUAAGACCUUUGCUCAUUGACGUUACCCGCAGAAGAAGCACCGGCUAACUCCGUG